rnacentral:rRNA from 1 species
GGAUUCCCCUAGUAACUGCGAGUGAAGCGGGAAAAGCUCAAAUUUAAAAUCUGGCGGUUCUGCCGUCCGAGUUGUAAUUUAGAGAAGCGUUAUCCGCGCUGGACCGUGUACAAGUCUCCUGGAAUGGAGCGUCAUAGAGGGUGAGAAUCCCGUCUUUGACACGGACUGCCAGGGCAUUGUGAUGCGCUCUCAAAGAGUCGAGUUGUUUGGGAAUGCAGCUCAAAAUGGGUGGUAAAUUCCAUCUAAAGCUAAAUAUUGGGGAGAGACCGAUAGCGAACAAGUACCGUGAGGGAAAGAUGAAAAGAACUUUGGAAAGAGAGUUAAACAGUACGUGAAAUUGUUGAAAGGGAAACGCUUGAAGUCAGUCGCGCCGUUCAGGACUCAGCCUUGCUUUGCUUGGUGUACUUCUUGUUCGGUGGGUCAGCAUCAAUUUUGGUCGGUGGAUAAAGGCUCAGAGAAUGUGGCAUCUUCGGGUGUGUUAUAGCUCUGGGUCGCAUACAUCGACUGGGAUUGAGGAACUCAGCACGCCGCAAGGCCGGGUACUUGUACCACGUACGUGCUUAGGAUGCUGGCAUAAUGGCUUUAAUCGA